GCUAAACUUUGAAGGUCUGGAUAAAUAAAUCAUUGUUUUUGUCUCCUUUUAUCUCUGCAAAGUUUUGGGGGAAAUAAAAAGUGUAUUAAAGAGCUGCCUCCAAGACACUGCUGUUACCCAGCCAGACCAGGAGCAGAUCAUUAGUGACGACUAAGAGGAGAGUCAGAGGCCACGCUCCGAAGGAAGGAGUUCACCUGGAGGCGCUUUGACCUUUUGGGGGUUUUGACUAAGGAUACUCAACCAAAACCUGUCCAGUCAAAACCGAACCAAACCACUAUUGGUUCUUUUCUGUAGGAGGGGACAGACAAUGCCAGGAAACCUCAAUAGUGCCCUUAGAAUGGAGGUUGGAGGCUAUGUUAGAGUUCUUGAGGAGAAGGUUACAGCAUUUCAUGGCUUCUCUUGUCCUUAAACUUGGCUGACCCCCAUACCAGUCUGCUUUUCUUUCCCUGUGCCCUGGCAUUCACACAGAACCUAACUUGGGCCUUGUCUAAGUGACGCUCAGAACUCCCUCCAGGUCUGAACACCCCGUAGCCGUGGCGUGUGCAUCUACUUCUGCCAAUACCACCUGACCUGCCUCGCACUUCUGAAGGCCCCUCAGACCUGGGCUAUAGCCUCCUUGACUCCUUGUAGCAGCAGCCUUGAAGCCCAACCCUUUGGAGCUUCUCCGUUGUAGCACCCCAGUUCCCAGAAGCAUCCGAAGGACACGGCAGGCCCUGAGACUUGAGGAAUGGAGGAACCCCCCCCAGCCAGAGGCGUGUUGCUGCGAUCGGAUGCAUUAUUUAUGACUCCGAUGUCAGCGUGGCUCCCAGGCACCCAGAGAAAUGGAAAGGCACUUGGGUCUGUGUUGAUUAAACUAAAUAUUUAAACAGGAAUGAGGAACUGAGGCAAAAAUCCAUUUUUCUUCAGAAGGCAGACAACACCACAAACGACUUCAAGGUUGAGGACCUAGUAAACACCAUCCAGAUUAGAGGGGAAGACUCGGCGGGACCCCUGGUCAAGGACGCUUCAGAGCAGAACCGUGGGCUUGUCGGAGGCUGAGAGCCGCCUGGAAGCUGGGUGGAAAGGCCCGCCUAAACUCUGGUCAGACAUGUGGGAUCCACAGGCAUGGGGACACCUUCUGGGUACACCCACUGCAGUGACCAGCUACCCCUCAGACCUCCAGCUGGUAAGGCGGGCUCGAGCUGCUGAAGCUCUGCACCUGUGUCCUGUGUCCCCGGUGACACCAGAAAUGAAGACAGAAGUGUUGGCAUCGCUUGGGAUUUCAACUCGCAUAUGGAAAGUUUGGGAUUUCUGGGCUUUGCUCUAAGUUCCAGCCCCAUUCCCGGACUCUGACCAGGAUAAGCUAAGCCAUUCAAAAGGGUCCGGGAGGAAUAAUUGUCUUCUUAAUGAGGUAGCACACCCACCGUGGCUUCUCAGAAACAUCCGCAUGGGCCUUUGGGGCCUCUCUGCUAUGGCUCUCCAGUUAUUCAGAAAAUCUUAAUCCACCCCCUUUCUUCCUCCUAUGCAUUUGCCUUUCAGAUACUGGACAAAGCCAGAGUAGGUUUGUUUCCCCUGAGCUCUAGUGUUUUCUGUUUUCUCUCUGGUUUCUCUCUUCAACCCCAAAUUUCUUCUAGUUGAAGAUAUCUAGGCUUCCAAGAGCCAAUUUCUCAUAAAUCUCCCUACCUAGUAAAAUGUAUACGACAUGUGCUAACCUUCCAAACCUUUUGUUUUUGCAAAGGCCCAGGUGCAUUUCUGUUAACCCGAUGGCCUGAGAGAGGUUUUGGCUGGUCUCCUCCCAUUUUCCUUCAUGUCCUUUGUGCUGAUUCCUUCAAAGCCAGCCUGUCUAGAAAGACUGUGACAUCAGACCAUAGCAACCGGAGGGGGUGGGAGAGACACCAUCACCACCUGCACUGGAAUAAAACUAAGAGAACUUCCUGCCCAGGUGUGCUGUGAGCUUGCUAGCAUGUCUGUCUGAGUGACGCUAAGAACAUUCUCGUAAGGGUCCAUGACACUUAUGUAUGUAUGUAUGUAACCGCAAAGUGUUUUAUUCGCAGAAGUCCAGCAUGCUGGCAUCUCUGUUAAUCCAUUGGGUCCAUCUCUGUACACAUCUCUCAUCCAUUACCUGGGUGUGGGGCUGGACACUUGCUGGGAAAGUCUGGAAACUGCUGCUGGGGAAGUCUGGAAACUGCUGCUGGGGAAGUCUGGAAACUGCUGCUGGGGAAGUCUGGAAACUGCUGCUGGGGAAGUCUGGAAACUGCUGCUGACCCAUUGUCCUUGCCUCAGGCCAGGCGGAGGGGCAGCUUCUGAGGGCCUAGUCUCUUUGAGGCCUGCCAUGGAACCAGCCUAGCCUUCUUAGAGUUCUCCAGCUUUGUUUUUCUUACAUUCAUAUUUCUUAUACUUAUUGGUUUGGUUUCUUUGAGACAGAAUUUUUUUUUAAGUUUUUUAAAAAUUUUAUUAUUUUUUUUUUAUUUAUAUGAGUACACUGUAGCUGUCUCCAGACACACCAGAAGGGGGCACCAGAUCUCAUUACAGAUAGUUGUGAGCCACCAUGUGGUUGCUGGGAAUUGAACUCAGGACCUCUAGAAGAGCAGUGAGGGCUCUUAACCGCUGAGCCAUCUCUGCAGCACCUGAAGACAGAAUUUAUCUCUGUAACCUUGACUGCCCUGGAACUCACCCUGUAGACCAGGCUGGCCUUAAGCUUAUAGUGAUCUGCCCGCCCCUGCCUCGUGAGUGCUGGGACUAAAGGCCAAAGGGUUUUGCUGUUGUCGUUUUUUAAUCCAUUUAUUUAUUAUUUAUUUAUUAAAAAAAAAAACAAACAAGGUGUCACUGUGUGGCUAUGGAUGGCCUGGAACUCACAGAAAUCCACCUGCUUCUGCUUCCCUGGGAAUCUUUAAUUUUUUAAAAUUUUCUUUUUUGCAUAUGAUGGUUGGUACACAUACAUGUAUGUGUACCACAUGCAUGGUUUGGUACCCUUGGAAGUCAGAAGAGGGAGUCAGAACCCCUGAUACUGGUUCUGAGGGUGCUGGGAAAUGAACCCAGGUCCUCUGGAAUCUCCCCAGACCUCUAUUGUCUUUUGAAAAAAGUUUUAAAUCUUAUUUUAAAAAUCACUUACGUAUUUACUCACUCAUUGGUUUAUUUAUGUGAGACAGGGUCUUGGUGUUGAAUGAAAAAGGUGAAAUGAAAGGAGGGCAAGACCACUCCUAAAGUAUGCAGCACUGUUUAUUGUAGAUGUCAGAAAGCAAGCAGACAGAAGGAAGAGCGCACGGCCAGCAGACUAAACCAGACCAUGAGGAGAGGCGAGUGGGGGCGGGGGGCACGAGCAGCUGACCAAGAGAAGCCAAGAGAGCUGUGUACACAAAAUGGCUGAAUUAUAUAGGAACCGCGCAGGAGGAAAGGAAGCAGACGCCAAGUGCCUGGGAGACAGAGGUUUCAGGUAUGCCUCUAUGAGAUAACUGGAAUUACAGACAGUUGAGAGCUGCCAUAUGGGUGUUGGGAAUUGAACCUGGAUCCUCUGGAAGAACAGUCAAUACUCUUAACCACUGAGCCAUCUCUCCAGUCCCUCAAAGAAAAAAAAUGGAGUGGCACUAUUAGGAGGUGUGGCCUUGUUGGAGAAGGUGUGGCCUCGUUGGAGGAAACGAGUCAUCGCAGGGGUGGGCUUUGAGACCGUCCUCCUAGCCACACAGAAGCCAGUCUUCUGUCUACCUUUGGAUUGAGAUGUAGAACUUUUGACUCCUCCAGCCCCAUGCCUGCCUGGAUGCUGCCAUGUUCCUGCCUUGAUAAUGGACUGAACCUCUGAAACUGUAAGCCAGCCCCAAUUAAAUAUUGUUCUUUAUAA